ACCACGGUGUGAUUCAUGACUGGGGUGAAGUCGUAACAAGGUAACCCUAGGGGAACCUGGGGUUGGAUCACCUCCUUA
rnacentral:rRNA from 4 species